GACGAACGCUGGCGGCGUGCCUAAUACAUGCAAGUAGAACGCACAGUUUAUACCGUAGCUUGCUACACCAUAGACUGUGAGUUGCGAACGGGUGAGUAACGCGUAGGUAACCUGCCUGGUAGCGGGGGAUAACUAUUGGAAACGAUAGCUAAUACCGCAUAAUAUUAAUUAUUGCAUGAUAAUUAAUUGAAAGGUGCAAUUGCACCACUACCAGAUGGACCUGCGUUGUAUUAGCUAGUAGGUGAGGUAACGGCUCACCUAGGCGACGAUACAUAGCCGACCUGAGAGGGUGAUCGGCCACACUGGGACUGAGACACGGCCCAGACUCCUACGGGAGGCAGCAGUAGGGAAGCUUGGGCAAUGGCCGAAAGUCUGACCGAGCAACGCCGCGUGAGUGAAGAAGGUUUUCGGAUCGUAAAGCUCUGUUGUAAGAGAAGAACGGGUGUGAGAGUGGAAAGUUCACACUGUGACGGUAGCUUACCAGAAAGGGACGGCUAACUACGUG
rnacentral:rRNA from 1 species